AGAGUUUGAUCCUGGCUCAGAUUGAACGCUGGCGGCAUGCCUUACACAUGCAAGUCGAACGGCAGCACGGGAGUAAUCCUGGUGGCGAGUGGCGAACGGGUGAGUAACAUAUCGGAACGUGCCCAGUCGUGGGGGAUAACGCAGCGAAAGCUGUGCUAAUACCGCAUACGAUCUCUGGAUGAAAGCGGGGGACUCUGCAAAGAGCCUCGCGCGAUUGGAGCGGCCGAUAUCAGAUUAGCUAGUUGGUGGGGUAAAAGCCCACCAAGGCGACGAUCUGUAGCUGGUCUGAGAGGACGACCAGCCACACUGGAACUGAGACACGGUCCAGACUCCUACGGGAGGCAGCAGUGGGGAAUUUUGGACAAUGGGCGAAAGCCUGAUCCAGCAAUGCCGCGUGCAGGAUGAAGGCCUUCGGGUUGUAAACUGCUUUUGUACGGAACGAAACGGUUCACUUUAAUACGGUGGGCUAAUGACGGUACCGUAAGAAUAAGCACCGGCUAACUACGUGCCAGCAGCCGCGGUAAUACGUAGGGUGCGAGCGUUAAUCGGAAUUACUGGGCGUAAAGCGUGCGCAGGCGGUGAUGUAAGACAGAUGUGAAAUCCCCGGGCUCAACCUGGGACCUGCAUUUGUGACUGCAUCGCUAGAGUACGGUAGAGGGGGAUGGAAUUCCGCGUGUAGCAGUGAAAUGCGUAGAUAUGCGGAGGAACACCGAUGGCGAAAGCAAUCCCCUGGACCUGUACUGACGCUCAUGCACGAAAGCGUGGGGAGCAAACAGGAUUAGAUACCCUGGUAGUCCACGCCCUAAACGA
rnacentral:rRNA from 1 species